rnacentral:rRNA from 1 species
AUUGAACGCUGGCGGCAGGCCUAACACAUGCAAGUCGAACGAGUGGCGGACGGGUGAGUAAUGUCUGGGAAACUGCCUGAUGGAGGGGGAUAACUACUGGAAACGGUAGCUAAUACCGCAUACCAUCAGAUGUGCCCUGAUGUGUUUAGCUUGUUGGUGGGGUAAGGGCUCACCAAGGCGAAGAUCCCUAGCGGGUCUGAGAGGAUGAGCAUCCACACGGGAAUUGAGACACGGUCCAGACGCCUACGGGAGGCAGCAGGGGGGAAGAUUGCAAAAGGGGCGCAAGGGUGAUGCAGCCAUGCCGGGGGUAUGAAGAAGGCCUUCGGGUUGUAAAGGACUUUCAGCGGGGAGGGGUAACCAGAAGAAGAAGCACCGGCUAACUCCGUGCCAGCAGCCGCGUAAUUG